GACGAACGCUGGCGGCGUGCUUAACACAUGCAAGUCGAACGGAAAGGCCCUGCUUUUGUGGGGUGCUCGAGUGGCGAACGGGUGAGUAACACGUGAGUAACCUGCCCUUGACUUUGGUAUAACUUCAGGAAACUGGGGCUAAUACCGGAUAGGAGCUCCUGCUGCAUGGUGGGGGUUGGAAAGUUUCGGCGGUUGGGGAUGGACUCGCGGCUUAUCAGCUUGUUGGUGGGGUAGUGGCUUACCAAGGCUUUGACGGGUAGCCGGCCUGAGAGGGUGACCGGCCACAUUGGGAUUGAGAUAAGGCCCAGACUACUACGGGAGGCAGAAGUGGGGAAUAUUGCACAAUGGGCGGAAGCCUGAUGCAGCAACGCAGCGUGCGGGAUGACGGCCUUCGGGUUGUAAACCGCUGUAGCCUGUGACGAAGCGUGAGUGACGGUAAUGGGUAAAGAAGCACCGGCUAAAUACGUG
rnacentral:rRNA from 1 species